rnacentral:rRNA from 1 species
UAAGGAAUAUUGGUCAAUGGACGCAAGUCUGAACCAGCCAUGCCGCGUGAAGGAAGACGGCCCUACGGGUUGUAAACUUCUUUUGUACGGGAAAAAAUCUCCGGUCGUGAAUCGGAGCUGAUGGUACCGUAAGAAUAAGCAUCGGCUAACUCCGUGCCAGCAGCCGCGGUAAUACGGAAGAUCCGAGCGUUAUCCGGAUUUAUUGGGUUUAAAGGGAGCGUAGGCGGACUGUCAAGUCAGCUGUGAAAGUUUGCGGCUCAACCGUAAAAUUGCAGUUGAAACUGACAGUCUUGAGUUCACAUAAGGAUGGUGGAAUUUGUGGUGUAGCGGUGAAAUGCAUAGAUAUCACGAAGAACUCCAAUUGCGAAGGCAGCCAUCUGGGGUGCGACUGACGCUGAGGCUCGAAAGUGCGGGAAGCAAACA